UGCAGCAGUACAGGGAAGGCCAUCACAUGUGAACUGGAAAGGAGCCAACAUGGAGACACAGAGAAAGCAAGAUCCCAGGAGCUUCACUACCUGUCUCCACAGAGCUCCUAACAAGAUGCAACAGUGACUGCGUCACCAUUCCCCACUUUUCUCAACUACGCAGUGACAACCUCCCAGCAUCACCCCACUUCUCCCAGCCCACACCCUA